AUGGUGCGGCGGUGUUGGCUUGGCGGCAACCAAUGCUCGAUUGGUGGUGCUCUCCCUCCUCCUCGGCCGUGUGGAUGGCAUGGCGGCAACCAAUGCUCGAUUGGUGGUGCUCUCCCNNNGGCUGCUGGAGGGGUGGUAGCGGACCGGGAGAAAUCCCUGGCUGGAUUCCCGGCCACGACGACGGCGACACCUCCUGGUGCCGUCUUCCUCCUUGGAGGCGCCGUCGAGGUGCGUUUACCCCCUUCCCUCCCACUCUCAUGCCCGGGUGAAAACUCUAGUCUCUACAGACUGGGCGGCAGCGGCGUUUCAUGCGUCGUCAUCUUCCUGAAGGUGCCGCCUUGGGUGAGUUGGGGGUGUGCAGGGGCGAUGGGUGUGGUUGUCAAGUGUGUGGCGGCUUUGCAGGUGGAGGUGGCGCCAUGGUCUUCUUGUUGGGGCAGUGCUUUCCUACUAUUUGUUUGUUCGUUGCCUGACUUGUGGCUGUUUGCUCGCCGGCUGUCAGUGCCAUGGCAUGGGCGGGGUGAAGAUAGGGUUCUUUCCCCAUUGGCAGCAACAGGGCGUGGAAGGCUUGAACUUGGUGCUGAUUCCAGCGGGUGCUGCCCUGCUAUCUGCAUUGGCUGCCUAGGAUCCUCUGCUUGCAAGUUCUUCAUCAACCUAGCACAACAACAGCUUCUCUUCCUUGGGUGUGGAUUAUUGUGUCUCGACGAGGCUCUUCGUUUGGUGUUCUUAGCGCAGCAGGUGGGUCGUGCUGAGAAUCUCCCAUGGUGA
rnacentral:rRNA from 1 species